rnacentral:rRNA from 1 species
GGUUGCCUGUCGGAGACCCCCGCAGCGACUCUAAAGAACUGCUUUUAGUCGCCCCGAAUGUUCGGGUCGGCGACGCUAUUAGUCUGCGCUGGGAGUCCCUCGCACCGAGGGCCGACCGGCAGCUCCAGGGAACCCCUCGAGUCCACAGAUCAAACGACGGCGGCCACCUCCUGUGGUUCAGAUAUGACCGGCCCCAACCGCUAAGCGGCUGGCGAAGUUUUUGCGGAACCUGCGGAAGGAUCAU